AGUGAACGCUGGCGGUAGGCCUAACACAUGCAAGUCGAACGGCAGCACAGUAAGAGCUUGCUCUUACGGGUGGCGAGUGGCGGACGGGUGAGGAAUACAUCGGAGUCUACUUUUUCGUGGGGGAUAACGUAGGGAAACUUACGCUAAUACCGCAUACGACCUACGGGUGAAAGCAGGGGAUCUUCGGACCUUGCGCGAUUGAAUGAGCCGAUGCCGGAUUAGCUAGUUGGCGGGGUAAAGGCCCACCAAGGCGACGAUCCGUAGCUGGUCUGAGAGGAUGAUCAGCCACACUGGAACUGAGACACGGUCCAGACUCCUACGGGAGGCAGCAGUGGGGAAUAUUGGACAAUGGGCGCAAGCCUGAUCCAGCCAUACCGCGUGGGUGAAGAAGGCCUUCGGGUUGUAAAGCCCUUUUGUUGGGAAAGAAAAGCAGCAGGUUAAUACCCCGCUGUUCUGACGGUACCCAAAGAAUAAGCACCGGCUAACUUCGUG
rnacentral:rRNA from 1 species